CACGUAGUUAGCCGGGGCUUCUUACUCAGGUACCGUCAUUUUCUUCCCUGCUGAUAGAGCUUUACAUCACGAAUGACUUCUUCACUCACGCGGCGUUGCUGCAUCAGGGUUUCCCCCAUUGUGCAAUAUUCCCCACUGCUGCCUCUCGUAGGAGUUUGGGCCGUGUCUCAGUCCCAAUGUGGCCGUUCACCCUCUCAGGCCGGCUACUGAUCGUCGCCUUGGUGGCUUCUACCCCGCCAACCAGCUAAUCAGACGCGGAUCCAUCUUACACCACCGGAGUUUUUCACACUGAGCCAUGCGGCUCUGUGCGCUUAUGCGGUAUUAGCACCUAUUCUAAGUGUAUCCCCAGUGCAAGGCAGGUUAUCCAGCGUUACUCACCCGUCCGCCACUAAGUUACGAAUCACUAGGUUUCAUCGUAACUCCGUUCGACUUGCAUGUGUUAGCACGCCGCCAGCGUUCAUCCUGAGCCAGGACUCAAACUCUCUA
rnacentral:rRNA from 1 species